UACCUGCACCAUCUCCAGAAACUCUUUUCCACCUCAAUUGUCUUUUCAUACGCCCUGUUCCCCUCAUUACUCCUAUUGUUUCUCCUUUAUCAUCAAAAUAUUUACUGUUUCCUCCCCAUUUCUGUUUAGCCUCUCGUCUCUUUCCAACGUUGUUAAACUCCUUAUGUCUUCCUCCAGUGCUAACAUGGCCUUUCUCGGUAGCCAAUAUCCCAGGUCAGUACUCCUAAGACACUCAACUGCUCCUUUUGCAAGUUCAUGAGCAACUCCGUUACUAGAUCUAGAUAUUUUUUGAAAACGACAUUCCUCAAAACCUGUGCUUAAUAUUUGAAUAUCCUGAAUGUACGAACAUAAAACUGACCGAUCCUCUUUUAAUGCCUUUACUCUCCUUCAAUGAUAACCCGUCGGAGUUCCAUUUCUAACCCCGCCUGAACUGCUAGUAGACAGGCUAUUGCCUCCACCGCAAACGGUCCUCAUCGAAGUUUAUUUUGGUUAUACUUUGGUCCGGUGGUGUCCAACGUUCAUUGUUAUUGACCCUCCCUGUACUUGGAAGCUCGUGAAGGUUGGAACUUAGUCGGAGACACAUCACACUAUCUCUCGGACUUUUCAGUAUAUAAAUAAUGUCGUCCAAUCGAGUUGAAUCAAAGGAAGCUGAGAGCAAUGCUUAAGGUUCAGUUCCAAGAGUUGCUUCCAGUAGUAGAAGGCUCGUAUCUGAGGGCCGAGGUGAGGAGGCUAAGGAAACUUUCUUUCAAAUGAUUAAUGAAUGGUUCACUGAAUAUUUGAGAACAAAUCCUGCUGUACAACAACCUCUCCCUCCUGCUCUUCAACCAGUUUUUGAUAUGUCAUAAGGUGUGGAAUCUGUUAGAACUGGUAAGCCUUCGGUAGAUAAAAUUCAUAAAUAUGGGGCAGGAGAAUUUAGGGCCAGUGUUGAAGAAGAUCCAAAAAAGGGCUGAAUUUUGGUUAGAUAACUCUAUCAGAGUUCUGGAUGAAUUGUCUUGCAUACUUGAUGAAUAUUUGAAAUAUGUUGUAUCUUUGUUAAAAGACUUAGCCUAUUAGUGGUGGAAUACACUGACUUCUGUUGUACUGAGAGAAAGUGUUACAUGGGAAUUUUUCCAAACAGAAUUCAAAAAGAAGUAUAGUAGUCAGAGAUUUCUUGAUCAAAAAAGGAAGGAAUUUCUAGAACUCAAAUAGGGGAAUACGACUGUAUCUGAGUAUAAGUGGGAAUUUGUCAGAUUAAGCAAAUAUGCCAGAGAGUGUAUCCCGACUGAAGUUGCUAUGUGCAAACUGUUUGAAUAGGGGUUAAAUGAAGACAUUUAGUUGUUAGUUGGGAUUUUACAAUUAAAUGAAUUCGUUGUAUUGGUUGAUCGAGCACAUAAAGCUGAAGAAUUAAGUAAAGAAAAGAGACAGGCAGAAAUAGAAACUCGGGCUUUGAGCAAAAGAUUUAUGGAGAAGUCUUAAUCGUCGGCUUUAAAGAAACCGAAGAAAUAUCUUGAUCAUUCUGUCACAUAUACAGGGUAUUCUAGGAGAGAUCGAGGUACUUAACGUUCUAAUCCGAGAUCUUCGGCCACAUCAAUAGCAAGUGUUAGAAGUGUCGGAAGUCUAAAACCCAAAUGUAAAUAUUGUAAUAAAUUGCAUUCUAGUGAGUGACGCAUGAGAAGCGAAGCCUGCUUUAAAUGUGGUUCUCUUGACCACUAUCUCAGAGACUGCCCGGAGAGGCUUGAAAAAGAUAUUGUUUAGACCUCAAGGCUGAGCAACCCCACUUCGAGAGGUAGACCGCAUCGUCACCCCGGUAAUAUAAGUGGUAGUCGAGGUAUGACAAAAGAUUUAACUGUUAAAUCUGAAGCACGAGCAACGACAAGGACAUACGCUAUUUAUGCACGUGAGGAUGCCUUUGCACCUAACGUGAUUGAUGCUGUGUCAGCACAGAAAUAUAUCAGGAAAGGGUAUGAUGCCUAUCUUGCAUAUAUGUUGGACACUAAAGUAUCUGAAUCAAAGAUUAAGUCAGUACCGGUUGUUUGUGAAUUUCCUGAUGUGUUUUCGGAGGAAUUUCCCAGAUUACCGCCAGUAAGAGGUGGAAUUUUUCAUAGAUCUUGUUCAGGGAACAACACCGAUAUCUAUAGCACCCUACAGAAUAGCUCUGAAGGAAUUAAAAGAAUUGAAAGCACGGUUGCAAGAAUUGGCUGACAGAGGUUUUGCUCGACCUAGUUCUUCACCUUUGAGUGUGCCGAUUUUGUUUGUUAAAAAGAAAGAUGGAUCUUUGAGAUUAUGCAUUGAUUAUUGGUAACUCAACAAAGUCACAAUAAAAAACAAGUACCCAUUGCCUCGUAUUAAUGAUUUGUUUAAUCAGUUAAAGGUGUCAAUGUAUUUUCAAAGAUUUAUUUUCGUUUCGGUUACUAUCAACUACGGGUGAAAGAGUCAAAUAUGCCAAAGACAGCAUUUAGAACCAAGCACGGGCACUAUGAGUUUCUUGUAAUGCCGUUCGGUUUGACGAAUGCACCUGUGAUAUUUAUGGAUUUAAUGAAUAGAAUUUUCAGACCAUAUUUAGAUAGAUUUGUGGCGGCAUUUGUUGACGAUAUUUUAGUAUAUUCCUGGGAUGAAAAUAAACAUGCUGACCAUCUGUGAAUUAUAUUGCAAAC